rnacentral:lncRNA from 1 species
ACAAAAGCAUGUCGAUGAACAUGAAGGUGUUGAACAAGGUAGAUCAGAUCCAGCGCUUGCCCGUGUUAUGAUCGGCGAGCUCGUGUAGUUGUUAUGCGGAUGGUGGAUGGCGGGUGGAGGUCCCUCGGUGGAAUUAUAGGGUUUCUAGGGGUUUUUAGGCCGGGGGGGUUUAAGUCUACCCUAGGAGAGCAGAAUAAUAUCUUGGAGAUAUUUUCA